CUUUGCGGGGGUCUCUUUUUGGGAAUUCGACGCAAGUCGAUGGUACCUGGGGAGGCUCGCGUCCCUUUACACACCCUUUGUAUGUCUUAAGAAUGUCUACUCGAUGUAAUAAAACGCAUCUAAUACAACUUUCAACAACGGAUCUCUUGGCUCUCGCAUCGAUGAAGAACGCAGCGAAAUGCGAUAAGUAAUGUGAAUUGCAGAAUUCAGUGAAUCAUCGAAUCUUUGAACGCACCUUGCGCCCUUUGGUAUUCCGAAGGGCACACCUGUUUGAGUGUCGUGAAAUUCUCAACCCUCUUCGCUUUUGUGAACGUAGGGAUUGGACUUGGAGGCUUUGCCGGCUCUUGCUCGGCUCCUCUCAAAUGCAUUAGUGCGUCUUGUUGCGACGUGCGCCUCGGUGUGAUAAUUAUCUACGCUGUGGUGCGCUUGCUUCUGUGGAGACACGCUUUCAAACCGUCCGAAAGGACAGCUUUCAUCGAACUUUGACCUCAAAUCAGGUGGGACUACCCGCUGAACUUAAGCAUAU
rnacentral:rRNA from 1 species